CCUACGGGGGGCAGCAGUGGGGAAUAUUGCGCAAUGGGCGAAAGCCUGACGCAGCGACGCCGCGUGAGGGAUGAAGGUCUUCGGAUCGUAAACCUCUGUCAGCAGGGAAGAACGGUCACUGUGCUAAUCAGCAGUGAAUUGACGGUACCUGCAAAGGAAGCACCGGCUAACUCCGUGCCAGCAGCCGCGGUAAUACGGAGGGUGCGAGCGUUAAUCGGAAUUACUGGGCGUAAAGCGCUCGUAGGCGGUAUGUCAAGUCAAGGGUGAAAUCCCCGCGCUCAACGGGGGAACUGCCUUUGAAACGGGCAAACUGGAGUGUGUGAGAGGAUAGUGGAAUUCCAGGUGUAGGGGUGAAAUGCGUAGAUAUCUGGAGGAACAUCAGUGGCGAAGGCGACUAUCUGGCACAUAACUGACGCUGAGGAGCGAAAGCGUGGGUAGCAAACAGGAUUAGAUACCCCGGUAGUC
rnacentral:rRNA from 1 species